GAGUUUGNUCANGGUUCAGAUUGAACGCUGGCGGCAGNCCUAACACAUGCAANUCGAACGGUAACANNUUUAGCUUGNUANUNGCUGACGAGUGGCGGACGGGUGAGUAAUGNUUGGGAANUUCCUUUCGGGNGGGGGAUAACAGUNGGAAANGANUGCUAAUACCGCAUAAUUUNUNCGGNCCAAAGCGGGUUUCGGCUCGCACCUGAAGAGAGGCCCAAGUGAGAUUAGCUAGUUGGUAAGGUAAAGGCUUACCAAGGCGACGAUCUCUAGCUGUUCUGAGAGGAAGAUCAGCCACACUGGGACUGAGACACGGCCCAGACUCCUACGGGAGGCAGCAGUGGGGAAUAUUGCACAAUGGGGGAAACCCUGAUGCAGCCAUGCCGCGUGUGUGAAGAAGGCCUUCGGGUUGUAAAGCACUUUCAGUUGUGAGGAAAGGUUGGUAGUUAAUACCUGCCAGCUGUGACGUUAACAACAG
rnacentral:rRNA from 1 species